GAAGUCACCAAAAAAAAAAUACUCCUAAUAUUGUAGAAGAGUCUGGAAACUCAACCAGAGACCAACGGAAAAAAAACGUCAGAACUCACAAGUCACAACAAACCGACUAAUCUUAGCCCCUCACCCCACUUCUUUCCGUUCGGUGUUAGUUAUCAUCGAAACAGUCCCAAUCACACUGAACCUUGAGAGAAAAUGUUGGUGGUGAUAGAGCAGCAAGAGACAGAGGAUCGAAACGCCAAUCCCUCCAACGCGGUUGCGGGUAACGACGCUUCUGACGGUUUUGAAACGGCCAGCGACACCGACCUUGGCAGUGACAACGGAGGCGAUGACGUCGGAGCUAGCAGCUAUGAUCAACGGCAGCAGCAACAUCAACAGCAGCAGCUGAAGACAGAGCUUUCCGAGCUGGAGCCGGAGCCGGAGCCUGAGCAGAGUGUUUCUCCAAGUAAUAGUUACUCUGGGGAUCUCUUGAUCAAUGAGGAGUUGGAGAAGAAAGCAUUGGUUCAAGCAAAUGAAGCAAAGGCAGAAGGGAACAAGCUUUUUGUGGAUGGGAAGUAUGAGGAAGCAUUAUCCCAGUAUGAACUUGCUCUACAAGUUGCACCUGACAUGUCUUCAUUGGUUGAAAUACGCUCGAUAUGCCAUGCAAACCGUGCUGUGUGCUUUCAGAAACUGGGAAAAUAUGACAACACAGUUAAAGAAUGCACAAAAGCACUAGAUCUGAAUCCAGUGUACAUUAAAGCUUUAGUAAGAAGAGGAGAAGCUCAUGAAAAGCUUGAACAUUUUGAAGAAGCCAUUAUUGAUAUGAAAAAGAUCUUAGAAAUUGAUCCCUCAAAUGAUCAAGCUAGGAAGGCCAUCAGGCGACUUGAGCCGCUUGCUGCAGAAAAGCGGGAAAUCAUGAAGGAAGAGAUGAUUGCAAAACUAAAAGAAAUGGGAAAUUCUGUCCUGGGCCGUUUUGGGAUGAGUGUCGAUAACUUCAAAGCAGUUAAAGAUCCAAACACUGGUUCCUAUUCUAUCUCAUUCCAGCGUUAAGUGUGGCAGAGCAAAGUCAUAAUAGCAUUAAGCAAGAAAGAUGCAGUCCAUAAUAAUGCAGUGGUGCUAAGCAUUUAAGCAAUGUCCGCGUUCUGGCUAGUCAAGUACUUCAUGUCCUAGCUAGAAGAUGAUGGAACUAAUUCAUUGUGACAUUGUUUUUUCUUAGGCACCUUGGAAUUCGUGAUUAUUUAAGUAGUGAGGAAGUUGAACAUUGCUAGAAUCAUGAGUAAGUGCAAACAUAACCGUUCAUGAUGGCAAUAUCUAAGUGUUUUGGGUUUGUCCGCUGCUGCUUUCCGUCACAGGGAAGAAAACAGGAGAGAGAAAGAAAAUAUUUGAAGGGGUCUCUCCUUAUUGUUCUCGAUAUCCCAAAAUAAAGAAAAAAGAAAAAUCAAAUCAAAUAAAAUUAACAUCUGAAAUAUGAUUCAUUAUUCGGAAGAAUGGAAUCAUUUUUUUCCAGGACAGUUAAUUUCCCCUAAAAAAGCCAAUUCCUCAAAACCCUCACAGUUCACAACCUUGAGAACCCUCAUUCUAUACAAGGGAGCCUACAAAUGGAGAGAUAAAUCAAGCUCUUGAUAUUUCUCUGCACAAUUGGUCCUUGUCUCAAGGUUUUGAGUGUCACUCUUCAGUAAUGAUAUUUGUUGAGAUGUGUUAAUGAUAUUUGUUGAGAUGUGUCAACACUGUUGAAGCCACUGCUUCCAAGGCGGCUUUGCCAAUCACCGAAACUUCUCUCAUCAAUACACUUAACCGGUAAGGAAACACACCAUUAUCUCCAGCAAAUUCAUGUGCGCCAUUUGAUCUAAAUCCUUCUGAAAUAUGGCGGCUUGGGAAAUAUGCGAGAUUCGUUGCAUGGCCAGUGAUGAACGCUGAAGGGAAAACCUUAGGAGGGGUCGACAGCGAAGAAGCAAAUAGAAGAUACGAGUACUCAGCAGAAGCCCUCUCAGUGUCUUUUCUUGGUUCUUCUCUCUUUUCUGUGAGCAUUUUGGUGCCCCCUAAAGCUUGAGAACUGUAGAAAGUUCUUGUGCAGUAUAGCCAUCGAAGAACUUUUGA